rnacentral:lncRNA from 1 species
ACCGUUGCCAUGACUACCUGUGUGACAAACAUCUUAAUGGCAUUUCGCUGAGAUGCUUCAGGACAUACUUUAUUCAGCUGGGUGCUGAAAAAGAAUCUUGGAAAUUAGGAAACUGAAUGAGGCCUCAUUUCACACUCAGAAUGUGGGUUGCAAUAGUCACUUCCUCUGCUGCUGGGAAAGAAAGAAUUAUACUACCUUUUGAAUUUUGGAUUAAGGAGAGAGGUGUUGGCUUGUCAAACUACCAUGUAUUCCUCAAGACAUAUUUUUGUGGCUUUAUAAAAUUCAAUAUAUAUGUCUAAAUUCAAAAAUAUUUUGUUGCAAUCUGGCCCUUGGACAAACUGAGGCCCUAGCAACUGAUGUUUAUGGCUUUCCGUAGAACCUUUCAGAUAAAAUUUACACAGCAUUUUACUGCAGCUAUUUCACACAAAGCAGAGGAUUUUGCCACAAAACUGAAAGAAAAAAGAAACUGCAUUCUUAAAUUUUUCAUAAAUCAAAAGGUAUAAAAAUAUCUACCUAAACGAUAAAGGAGAUGAGAAACCCCACCCAUGAUGGGAAGAAAGCCUAUUUCAGUUUUGCCUUUACUUCAAGUUCUUUUUUCCAUAUCUGGAAUGCAAUCAGAAUUUUAAUCUUGCCUUGGGUUCCUCCUGGAUUUGGGGAGAAGACAAAACCUGAAAAUCUCUAAUCUGCAUGUGUUCAGCUGCGUAUCUUCUGGAUACGGAAGGAUCACACUGCACAGAGUGCUGGACUUGCAGGAGCCCCGCUUCUCAACCUCCAUCGCUUUAUGAAUGAAUUCACCAGAAAGAAAAGGAAGAAUCAACACUUUCAGAGAUGGAGCCUGUUGAGCCACAGUACCAACUAGUCAAUGCUGAAUCGACUUCUCCCUUUCUACAUUGCCUGAGAGAAGUCAUUGGGGAAUACUCUGUACACGAAUUUUCACUGUUGGGGAAAACAGAGAGUCAAGGGAUUGGAUUGUGGAUUGCAUUGGUGGUUUUCCUCAGUUUCCUCAUCUUCUCCACAAGUUUCUACAUAUCGAAUGCAGAGCAGCCCUUCUUCAAAGGACCUCCUACGGAAGCUGCUAAGGAACUCAGUCUGUAGCUCUGCGUGGAGCCAUGUGUAAACACUGAACUGAGACCUGCCACCUCCUACUACCUAAGGGCCCAUUUUCAUCUGAUAUCAUCCCCCAGAAACAAACUCAUGAUGACUUCCAUGUUUUUUUUAGAUUAGAUACAUGGAGAAUUUUCCUUUCCCUUAGAAUUAAAAUCCUGCAUUCUAAUUUUCA